GCUGGACUGCGGAGGCGGGAGGAACGCUACGGCGCAGGCGCAGGAGCGGGGGCGUGGCCACGCUGCUUUUCUGGGCGCGCAGGCGCUCCGGGCACACGUGUGGUUCUGCUGAGUUUGGGGUGCCUGCCCACCCCCAGCCUUCGCCCGGUCCCGCGGACCCGGAGCCUCUCCGCGCUCCCGCCAUGGGCCCGGCCUCAGGCUCAGUGACCGCGCGCUACCUCGUGUACUUUCAGUACUUGGGCACGGACUUUAAUGGGGUCGCGGCCGUCAGGGGCUCCCAGCGCGCCAUCGGCGUCCUCAACUACCUGGAGGAGGCUGCAAAGCGGCUGAAUUCGGUGGUGCCUGUCAGGUUCACGAUCUCCAGCCGCACAGAUGCGGGGGUUCACGCGCUGAGCAACGCGGCCCAUCUGGACGUCCAGCGCCGCUCAGGCCAGCCUCCUUUCUCCCCCGAAGUCCUGGCAGAGGCACUCAACGCCCACGUGAGGCACCCGGCCAUCCGUGUACUGCAAGCUUUCAGAGUACCCAGUGACUUCCAUGCCCGCCAUGCAGCCACAUCCAGGACCUACCUGUACCGCCUGGUCACAGGCUGCCACCGGCCUGACCAGCUGUCUGUGUUUGAACGAAACCGAUGCUGGCCACUGAGGGCAGACUGCUUGGAUGUGGAUGCCAUGCAGGAGGCUGCCCAGCACCUCCUGGGGACACAUGACUUCAGAGCCUUCCAGUCAGCUGGCAGCCCGACCACUAGCUCAGUGCGCACACUGCGCCGAGCCUCAGUGUCCCCUGACCCAGGCAGCCCCUUUGUCCUUGCCCAGGAGAAGAGGUUGCAUUUCUGGAACCUGGAGUUCGAGAGCCGGUCCUUCCUAUACAGACAGGUGCGGAGGAUGACAGCUGUGCUGGUGGCUGUGGGGCUAGGGGCCUUGAGGCCUGCUCAGGUGAAGGUGAUCCUGGAAAGCCGAGACCCCCUGGGUAGGCACCAGACGCGUGUGGCCCCAGCCCAUGGCUUAUUCCUCAAGUCAGUGCUCUACGAGAACCUUGGUGGGAAUCCAGCCUGUGUUCAGCAGGAAAGUCAGGGCCCUGGAGGCAGGGAAACCCCAGGUUAGCCAAAAAAUCCAGUUGGAGACCAGCAGCCCACAAGCAGGAGACUUGGAGUAAGGGUUUACCACAUGGAAGCCACAGAGAACCCCCCCCCAGAAGCCCCAGUGAGGUCAGGGCAGCCAACACAGCCCAGCCACUGGACCCUGCCCAGCUCUGCAGGCAUGUGGGCCUCCUGCCCCCCACUGGCCUGCACCUGCCCAAAGCCCCCACCUGCCUGGGCACCUGCUAUGGGUGGACUGAAGGAAAAAGGUUUGAGCAUCAAGAAGGGAAUAUCCACGCCGCCUUUGGUUCUGUUUUUACUGAAAAUUAGUACCUCAGGUGCAGCCACCCAUCUCGGGCUCAGGAACAGAAAUAAAAGGUCAUGAGGU